rnacentral:rRNA from 1 species
CCCCGUACCGCAAACCGACACAGGUAGUCGGGUCGAGAAGACCAAGGUGAGCGAGAGAACUCUCGUUAAGGAACUCGGCAAAAUGACCCCGUAACUUCGGGAGAAGGGGUGCUGAUCGCAAGAUCAGCCGCAGUGAAUAGGCCCAGGCGACUGUUUAUCAAAAACACAGGUUUCUGCAAAAUCGUAAGAUGAAGUAUAGGGGCUGACGCCUGCCCGGUGCUGGAAGGUUAAGAGGAUGGGUUAGCGUAAGCGAAGCUCAGAAUUGAAGCCCCAGUAAACGGCGGCCGUAACAAUAACGGUCCUAAGGUAGCGAAAUUCCUUGUCGGGUAAGUUCCGACCCGCACGAAAGGCGUAACGAUCUGGGCACUGUCUCAACGAGAGACUCGGUGAAAUUAUAAUACCCGUGAAGAUGCGGGUUACCCGCGACAGGACGGAAAGACCCCAUGGAGCUUUACUGUAGCUUGAUAUUGGGUGUUUGUACAACUUGUACAGGAUAGGUAGGAGCCGUAGAAGUCGGGACGCUAGUUUCGACGGAGGCAUCGGUGGGAUACUACCCUCGUUGUAUGAACACUCUAACCCACGCCGGCAAUCACGGCGGGAGACAGUGUCAGGUGGGCAGUUUGACUGGGGCGGUCGCCUCCUAAAAGGUAACGGAGGCGCCCAAAGGUUCCCUCAGAAUGGUUGGAAAUCAUUCGCAGAGUGUAAAGGCAUAAGGGAGCUUGACUGCGAGACCUACAAGUCGAGCAGGGACGAAAGUCGGGCUUAGUGAUCCGGUGGUUCCGCAUGGAAGGGCCAUCGCUCAACGGAUAAAAGCUACCCUGGGGAUAACAGGCUUAUCUCCCCCAAGAGUCCACAUCGACGGGGAGGUUUGGCACCUCGAUGUCGGCUCAUCGCAUCCUGGGGCUGUAGUCGGUCCCAAGGGUUGGGCUGUUCGCCCAUUAAAGCGGUACGCGAGCUGGGUUCAGAACGUCGUGAGACAGUUCGGUCCCUAUCCGUCGCGGGCGCAGGAAAUUUGAGAGGAUCUGUCCUUAGUACGAGAGGACCGGGAUGGACAUACCGCUGGUGUACCAGUUGUUCUGCCAAGGGCAUCGUUGGGUAGCUAUGUAUGGAUGAGAUAAACGCUGAAAGCAUCUAAGUGCGAAACUCACCUCGAGAUAAGAUUUCCCACUCCUUUAUGGAGUUAAGACCCCUGAGAGAUGAUCAGGUAGAUAGGAUGGAAGUGGAAGUGCGGCGACGCAUGGAGCGGACCAUUACUAAUCGGUCGAGGACUUAAC